UAUUUACUCGGUGAAUCAUAAAAUAAAAGUGUGUUUAUCGAUUUGUAAUUAUCUUUAGUGUCUUAGUAAUUUUAGAGACGAACAUUUCAAUCUCAGCUUUACGAAAAGGACCGAUUAUCGUUUCUCUUUCAAUUCCAUGUUUAUCUAUAACCAUUUAGUAUUUUUCAAUAUUCAUUUCUAUUGCUCUAACAAUCUCCAAAGAUUUUUUUGAUAUUAAUAUCUUGCCAGUUCUGAGGUUUUAAUUGCUUUUGGCUUUUUCUUUAAGAAAUCGUCAAUCUCUGGAAAAUUUUAUUGGCAUAAAGCAAAGGAAUAUGGCUCAAACAUUGAUACCCUUCGGAAGUUCAUUCAGUGACAUUUAUCAAUGAUUUCUUAUCUCAUUCUCAUAAUAUAUGUAAGCGGCUAAAUACUGGAACGCAGUAGGAAUAGUAGUAGCAAUCGGUGAUAAUAAUUGAAGGGGAUGAAAUGAUUUUCUCACACUGUUUGGUAUUCCCGUGGUGGGUUGGGUCUGAGGGGCCGAGUGAGCAUGGAUAUCGGACGAUCUGCUACCCUAAUUAUUAUCACAAAUUGGUCCGCAACAGCCUCGAUCGAACGUACCGGUUCUUUUUGUUUGGGAGUAAAAAUCCAACAACACGGUACAAUCUAUUUCUCAAUUUCUUUUUAUUUGUGUAUUUCAGUUUAUCAGGCUCGUUCGAUUUGAAUCUUUCGUAUACAUAAGAUUGAGAGAAAACAUUUUGGCUGCAACUCAUCUCUCCUCAUCGAUUCAAGCAUUCAUAUUAUUUUCGGUCCCAACUUUAUCAACUUUGCCAACUUCCAUCGAUUUAUCAACUUCUGUUCCCUCGCUUUGUUCAUUCUUUUCAAAGUCGCAGAGGGUAAUGUUAUUUGACCAAGUGUUGACCAGCUAAAAAUACAUCCUGUAAUGGAAAUAUUAUAAAAUUGUGUUAUUCAUCAUUUCUAAAUACAAGGAAUAUUUGCGAAGGGAUAAAUAAAAAAAAAUUGUUAUGUUAAUCAAGCGAUGAAAGAACUCAAAACUGUGCGUGCAAAUGAUGCCUUUGUUUUCGCUUCUUUGCGUUUUAACGAAUAAAAAUUAUAAUAAUAUUGCGUUUUUCGAUAUUAAUUCGAAUAAAGAAAUCUUUCCGAA